CUCGACAAGUCAACUAGUUUUUCAGUGUACAUUGCUCUCGUAUCAAAUAGAAAUUAAAUCCUUGAAACUUUAAGUACAUGAGAUUUCAAUUCAUCAUAAGGGAAAACCACCUCCAUUAUAUUUAACAAUUUCAUUACAAAACAAUUACAACUUCAUUAUAAACAACAAAAACAACAACACGAAACAAAAAACAAACUCCUAGUACACCACUAUUUUCUUUAAUCCUUCACUGUUCCAUUUUAUCUCAAUUUUUGCCACCAACUCUUGAUUUUUCUUUUUGUACAAUACCUUUGUCAUUAUUGCGCUUGAAUUUGUUCCAUCUACUUCACUGCACAGAGCUUCCAACACAAGUAAAUGACAUACUUUUGUUAAAUAAUUAGAAAAUAACAAGAAUGUACACUAAAAUUCAACACAAACUAUUAAAUCUUUUUUCCAUUGCUUGUAAAAUGAAAUUGUUCCGAGUCUAUGCUACUUGAAAAUACAAAAGUUGAUUUUCUCCAGUUCUAAAUAGUUGCAGAAAAAUCUACGCCUUUAAAAGACGGUGGAUGUCAAUUGUACAAUUCUAUAACAUUAUCAGUAUUACAAUAAUUGGGCAUGUUAUAAUACUUGGGAUUAUGCAUGUAUGCAAAAGGUUUACCAAUCAAUACAAUAAAAUUUAACACCUAUUUAACAGUAAAAAAAUUGAAUUGGUUGAAAAAUUUGUCUGUCGAGCAAUGUAAAAUUAGAAAUGACCAAUUUCGAGAUAAGGCUGGCACUUCCACGCCCAGAAACAGACUCGAAUAAUUUAAAAUUUGACAACACAAUCAACAAGAGAUAAAUGUCCAUCAAGAAGAUGUUCAAAAAAAAAUGAGAGCAAAACGACAUCACAAGAACUACAAUGAUGCUUUGAUACUUCUACCCAAACCAUUAUAAAAGAAUUCUUCAAAUAAAGAAGUCUAUAACACAUUUUUUAAUUUUCUUGUUUUAACUGUAUCAAAAAAAAUUUAAUUUCUUGAUUUCAGGAAACACCUUUAGACGUUUUUUUCUUGCAUACAAGAGCUAAAAAAUUGAUUGAAAUAAAUUUCUUUCAAAGUAUGAAUAGGUUCUCCCAAUAAAUGAUUCAGCAGCCACCAUUGCAUAGUUACAGUUCAAUAAACAUAUUCUCAUGUUCAUCCCAAAACACAAAAAAAAUUAAAAAAAAUUAGGGCUAAUUCCCAUAUGAGAAAUUCCCAAAUCGAAUCAAAAAAUGAAAUCGAAAAACCUGUUUAAAUCUUAACGAAAUCGAAAAAAUAGUUGAGGGUUUACCGAAUCUCGUUUAGAUAUGGUGUUUUGUGUUCAAUUUCCCCUUUAGAAUUUCGUCGCAACUCUGUGUCUGGGUUUACCGAGUUGUCGUGUUUGGAGGAGAGUUAGGACAGUUUAGAUGAGUUGGGAGGAUGAGUUUGGAUGAGAGUUAAAAUCUAGGAGGAGUCUGGAUGAGUUGGGAGGAGAGUGUGGGAGGAGAAUUUGGAAGAGGUUUUUCAGAGGAGGGAGUAGCGAAAUUACAGGGUAAGUGGGGAGAGAGAAAAGUACAAAACUCAUACAUAUUUAAGUAGGAAUGUCAUUUAACAAAAGUAUGCGACUUAAGAG
rnacentral:lncRNA from 1 species